rnacentral:rRNA from 1 species
AACGAACGUUGGCGGCGUGGAUGAGGCAUGCAAGUCGAACGUGAAAGCCGCAAGGUGAGUAGCGUGGCGGACGGGCGAGUAACACGUAAUCAAGCUGCCUGCGAGACGGAGAUAACUUCGGGAAACCGAAGCUAAGACCCGAUGGUCUACCGAGACUGCAUGGUUUUGGUAGUAAAUGGGCGGGAUCCUUCGGGAUCGCCUGCUCGCAGAGGUGAUUGCGGCCCAUCAGCUAGUUGGUAGGGUAAUGGCCUACCAAGGCAACGACGGGUAGCCGGCCUAAGAGGGUGGUCGGCCGCACUGGGACUGAGACACUGCCCAGACUCCUACGGGAGGCUGCAGUCGAGAAUCUUCCGCAAUGGGCGAAAGCCUGACGGAGCGACGCCGCGUGGAGGACGAAGGCCUCGGUUGUAACUACUGUCACGAGUUAAGAAGGACGCGAUGCGCGAACAGCGCAGGCGUUGACGUAAGACUCGAGAGGAAGC